rnacentral:rRNA from 1 species
AUUGAACGCUAGCGGGAUGCCUUACACAUGCAAGUCGAACGGAGUGGCGAACGGGUGAGUAAUGUAUCGGAACGUGCCCAGUAGCGGGGGAUAACUACGCGAAAGCGUAGCUAAUACCGCAUACUCUUGGAGCGGCCGAUAUCGGAUUAGCUUGUUGGUGGGGUAACGGUUCACCAAGGCGACGAUCCGUAGCUGGGUUGAGAGGACGACCAGCCAAACUGGGGCUGAGAAACGGCCCAGACGCCGACGGGAUGGAGUCGUGGGGAAUUUUGGACAGUGGGGGAAACCCUGAUCCAGCCAACCCGCGUAGGCGAUGAGGGCCUGCGGGUUGUAAAGCACUUUUGGCAGGAAAGCGGUACCUGUAGAAUAAGCACCGGCUAACUACGUGCCAGCCGCCGCGGUAAUUC